GGUUCGGUAGUUCAGUUGGUUAGAAUGCCUGCCUGUCACGCAGGAGGUCGCGGGUUCGAGUCCCGUCCGAACCG
rnacentral:tRNA from 1 species